rnacentral:rRNA from 1 species
ACGAACGCUGGCGGCGUGCUUAACACAUGCAAGUCGAACGGAAAGGCCCUGCUUUUGUGGGGUGCUCGCGUGGCGAACGGGUGAGUAACACGUGAGUAACCUGCCCUUGACUUUGGGAUAACUUCAGGAAACUGGGGCUAAUACCGGAUAGGAGCUCCUGCUGCAUGGUGGGGGUUGGAAAGUUUCGGCGGUUGGGGAUGGACUCGCGGCUUAUCAGCUUGUUGGUGGGGUAGUGGCUUACCAAGGCUUUGACGGGUAGCCGGCCUGAGAGGGUGACCGGCCACAUUGGGACUGAGAUACGGCCCAGACUCCUACGGGAGGCAGCAGUGGGGAAUAUUGCACAAUGGGCGGAAGCCUGAUGCAGCAACGCCGCGUGCGGGGUGACGGCCUUCGGGUUGUAAACCGCUUUCGCCUGUGACGAAGCGUGAGUGACGGUAAUGGGUAAAGGAGCACCGGCUAACUACGUG